UUCCCGCCGCCGCUCUGGUUGCACAUGCGCACACUAAAGCCCUCGACCCCGCGGAUUCCGCUACUGGGCGUUUGCGCAAGAGGGUGGGGUUUCUUCCCGCCGCCUUGGCCAGCUAGAAGAGCGGUUACGGGAAUGAAGCCCGUGGAUGAUCUUAAAAAACAGGGUGAACCAUAAGGCUAAGGGCCCAGCAUGAUUUCCAGGAAAGAAGCUAGCUCAGAGAAGGAAAAAUCUCAGGUGCUGACACAUCCCUAUAUACGUGGCCGGCCGCACAACACAUUGGGCACUCCAUGGAUAAAAGGCACUUUCUUGACUCUGCUUUUAUUUCCUUUUCGUUGAGUGCCCUACUUCCCCGUUAAAAACAAGCAGAAAAUGUAAUUGCUGAUUGUUUGUGGCUGUGUUAGUAGAAAUUAGCACAGUGGCAGGAAGGCAGUGUAUACUAUUUACUGAGCCCUUGGCUAUGAGGUAGGUGGGUUUUUCUAGGGGCUGGAAUCAUAGUGAGCAAGAUAAACACCAUCCCUGUAGGAAGCUAAAUUCCAAUGAAGCGAUGACAAUAACGGAUGAAUAAAUGAACAGUAUUCUUUCCGGCAUUGAUUACUACUUGAGGGAAAUACUGACCAGGAAGGUGGCAUCUAGAUGGUCAGGGAAGCCCUCUCAAAGAGACCUGGAUGAGAAAGAGCUGGUAGGGAGACUGUUGUCCUGGCAAAGAAAGGAUAGGGCAAAUGCAGAGAGAAAGAGGAACUUGGUAUGUUGCAGGGGCAGGGCAGGAAAGGCCAGUGUGGGGGAAGCAUAGUGAGUGAGCCGCAAGAUAGUCCCAGAUAGAUGAAGGUGGAGAGUUAGGCAGAAGCCAGACCAGGGUCCUUGAAAGCCAGGGUAAGAAGUUUAGUGUUUGUUCUGAGUACAAUUGGAAGCUAUUUGAAAGUUUUAAAGCAAGGGAGUAAUAUGAUCUAUCUGUUAUGAAGAGAAUGGAUUGUAGAGGGGCAAGUGUGGAAGCAGAGGAAAUAGGAUGCACUUUAUGUUUAGGAGAAACAUAAUGGUAGUUUGGACCAGAACAAUGGCGGAAGAAAUAAAAGAAAGAAGACAAUGGGAUUUGGUGAUUGGCUAUGGAAAAUGAAGAAAAGGGCAUCAUCAACAGUGAAUCUUAGGUUUUGGGCUAGCAUAUGUGUGGGUGGUAGUGCCACAUAGAAGGGAAGUCUGUGAGGUAAUGGUUUUUGAUUGAGUGAGGUGGAAGAGAGUAAAUCAAGGAUUCUAGUGUGGAUACCGAGAAAGAGAAAAGCAGACCUUGACAUCCAGGAGAUGGCCUGGUACUACCAGCUUGGUUUGCUGUUGCUUUGAGCUGGCCUGGCAAUCACAGCCAAGCAUUGGUAUUCUUCUGUUGAACAUAAACAAUUUCACAGAACAUCAGACAAGACAGAGUUGUGACCGUGAUAGAUCAAGACAAAAGUAAGAUCACUCUAUAAUCAUAUGUGAACACAGACACAACAUCAACAUUGCCCAAGCCAUAAAAAUGAUCAAAUAUCUCCUUAUCCUAGCUAAUAUGAGUGCCUGCUGCUUCUUUACCAAUUAUAGUUUUAACCUCAGUCUAGUCUUCCUUCCUUCUACAUAAUACUUAUUAAAAUACCCAAUUAUAGAAUUAUCCUUGCUUCCUUACAGCUUCCAAUCCAGGCCAAAGUCCCUCUUUCUUGCACCCUUCCGUAAAUCUCCUAACACAAACUCAAAUUCUAUAACAAGUCCUUUUUAACACCCUCUUCCUAAGACAUCCCAUGGUUCCCCAUGGUGUGCAUUCUCACGUACUGAAACAAGCAAUACAUCCAAGUUGCUCAGCUAUAGUUGUGUUCCUGGUGGUCAUUAUCGGGAGGUCGUUAACAAUAAUCAAGUCCAAGAUAUGCAAGUGAUGAUGUCAAAGAAACAGAUGAAUAUAUUGGUCUGGGGUAUAGUUCAGGGUGAAGAAAUAAACUUGGCAGUUAUGAAUUUAUAGAUGAAACCUAGUCUUGGACUAUACGAUAUUAUCUAAGCAAAGAUUGUAGAUGGAGAGUUGGGCUAUGAUAACUUCCAACAUUUCAUAGUUGAGCAGAGGAGGAGGAAGAACCAGCAAGAGACUGAGAAGUAGUAGUCUGUGAGGUAAGAAGGUGAUGUCAUAGAAGUCAAGAGCAGAAAGUUUUACAAUUAGAAGAAAGUGGUCAGCUAUAGCAAAUGCUUCACAGAAGUAGUGAGGAUACAGAAUUGAUCAGAGAUAGUCAUUAGAGCCUUCAGAAAGAGCAGCUUUGGAGUGAGACAGAAAGACUAUAUUGAAUUUAUUGACGAACAAAAGAUCUACAAAUGGAGACAACUCUUGAGUUGCAACCCAAUUUCAAAAACUAAAAACGUGAAGAAUGGGAACUUGGUAAAAAAAAAACCUGCAAAUCUACCAAGGGAGAAAAAGUAUUUAUAGUAUGAAAUAAAUAUGUUGCACCUAAAGAGAGCAGCAGCUUAAUCUUUCUAUGUGAAAAAAUACACUUGUCCCAUGAUCCUCCACAAGGCAGGAGAUGGAGGAAAUAUUGCAGGAGUCUCUUUGCUGAAGUCUUUGUUAACAGCAUGACCAUGGAUGGACAGUGACUGGCAUUUAAUUUUGACAUGAGGAGGGAGGAGAAGCCAGCAAUACUCAGUGCCUCUAUUAAAGUGAAGGGAAAGACA